CCUAUGUGGACGACUGCACCAACGAGUGUGGACGACUUCACCAGAUUUUUCGUGUGGACGACUUUGCUCGUGGACGACUUAACUGAUAUUCCUCUUGCCAUGCCUUCGAACCUGCACCUGCUUCUUUUUUUUCUUUUGAACAUACAAUUAUUUCGAAUUGGUAUAUCAGAUGGUUGGAGAUGUUGUUGAUAUAGGGAUGCAUUCUGUUGGACCAUAUGAUCCAGAGAUAGUGUUGGACAUUUAUAUAAAUUAUGCCAAACUUUUUCAAAAUUUAUAUGAGGAAAUGAGUCAUGGGAUGGUUUACGAACACCAACAUGGUGGAUUUCGGUUUUAUCUUAAUUUAGUUGAGAGCUAUAUACGGAGCCAACAUUUAUACGAAAAUGGGUACAGAAAAUCUGCAGACGCCUGCAAGAAUCGCAUAAAGAAUAUGAAGCAUUCUUAUAAAAAAAAUAAAGGACCACAACAAUAAAAGUGGGAGUGGCAAGAAAACUAGCAAGUUUUUUGACGCUAUGGAUAAAAUAUUAGGAACCAGACCCGCUACCCGUCCAACACAUAUUCUGGAGACAAGUAUUAAUUCAGAAACACAAGAUUUGGAUGAUUUUGAUGAUGAUGAUAAUGAUGAGGAACCAACAAGUGUCAAUUUGGAAAAUGAAGAAAAUGAGCCUACAGAAACCGUCCUCCGUAAACAGCCAGAAAAAAAAGGACCAGAAAAGAAAAAAAGAAACAGAGAGGAUAUAAUUCAACGUGUUCUGAAUGAGAAAACAACCAGCUUUAUAAAUUAUCAAAGAGAACAAGAAAGAUCAUAUUUUGAAUUCGAAGAAAAAAGAAUGAGAAUGGAGGCAGAUUCAGAGAGACUUAGAAAAGAUCAGAGACGGGAGGAUUGACUUAGAGCUGAGGAACAACGACGCGAGGAUAGGGAAAGAGAUAGGCAACAUGAAUUAAGAUUAUGGAGUUUGUUUGCCAAUCAGGGAUUUCAGCAGCAUCAAUUUUCUCAACAACAAAAUGGACAUGUUCCGCAGCCACAAUUUUUACAAAGAGCUAAUGGACACACAUAUACAAAUUUAUAAAACCAUAUUAUUUUCAAGACCUAUCAUUUUGUGCCAAAAGUUCUGCUAUGUAGAGCAUUUAUUUUAUUAUUAUUAUUAUUGUUCGAUUUAUAUAGCGCUUCAUUACAUGUGAAGUGUUUCUAAGCGCAUAUCACAAACAUAUACUUCAAACACACAGAAACAAUCAAAAUCAGGAGAACAUAAUUAAACACAGCUGCCUGUUAGGCGCUAUUAUUCAAAGGUUCAUUGAUAACAGUUAAUUUUUGUUUGUAGAAAUACAUAGUUUUAUUUAUCAUUCCAUUGUGCCAAGGCUAGAGUUUUAAUAAAUUAAUUUCCAUGUUUUAAUUAUUAAUAUCCAUAUCAUUUAACUUAAUGUAUCAUGAAGCUGAAUCAUAUUAUUUUCAAGAUAUACCAUUUUGUGCCAAAAUAUCUGACAUGUAGCGCAAUUAUUGUCAUUGAUAACAGUUUAUUUUUGUUUCUACAAAUACAUGAAUUUUAUUUGUCAUUCCAUUUUACCAUGGCUCAAGUUUUAAUAAAUUUAUUUCCAUGUUUAAAUUAUUAAUAUCCAUAUCAUUAUCAAAUGUGUCAUGAAGCUGAUAUAUGUACUUGGUUGUGAAAGUUAACUGUAGUUGUAACAUGUUUUAUGUGAUUUCAGUUUUUAUGAAUUUAAAUUACCAGUAUGAGAUUAAUUGUUUCAAUGGCAUUUAGCAAUUGAACUGGGAAUACACAGGACAAUCCUUGUUUAUAUCUAAAGCAAAGUUUUGACUUGGCUUCUUAUCGUUAUCAAAUAAUGCGAAACGGUAUGAGGUGGGUGUUUUCUUCUUUGUAAGUCAAUUGAUAAGCCCCUAAUAAGAACAAAACAGUCUGUUAUGUUUUCAAAAAUGGUAAAUUCUCUUUUAUUUAAUACAUUAAUUGAAAGACAUAAAUUAAAAAUUGAUCAAUAACUUUAUAGUGUAGGCUUGUACAGUGGACUCGGAAUAUUCCGAAUUAUUAGACCAAUCUGGGGACCCCCGUUAAACGAUUUCUGUUGAAUUAACAUUGGAUAAUCCUGCCUUCAAUCAGUGGGUGUUAACCGACAAGCAAUCAAUUAUCGGUGAGCUUAAAGUAUGUGUCAGUCUUUGUUAAUAAAACCUUGAUAAUUUUAUAAUUUCUUGUAAGAGAGUGCUUGGUAUUUCAUUUGAUUUUUUCACGUCAAAUACAACAACAUUAAAUAUAAAUUGCUGAGAUGAAGAAUCACUAUCAUAAUAAUAUUUUGUUCAUAACGACGCACAAGUGUUUUGUACGCACCCAAAGUAAAAACAUAAUAAUUUUAUAUAAUAAAGUUUCAAAUGUACAGAAAGGUUUAUCAUAUUUUUAAGUUCUGGGUAUUCGAAGGUGCAUUAAAAUAAUACUUUGGUAUUCGAGGUACAAUAAUACUUGCGGUUUUGAGACAAUUAAGUAUUCCGUCAUGGUGUAUAAUCCGGCAUUGUAUCGGUCCUGUACAAUGUUGAAAGUGAAAGAGUCCACUGUAUAUUUUUAAUUACAUACACUUCUUCAAUGAUGGACAACAAAGAUGACAAUUGGACCUCUUAUUAUAUAAUCCAACUCUGGCUUAAUGAGAUGCAUGGAUCAAAAAAUCAAGAUGCCAAAAGGUGUCAAUUUAAAUUCUGUAUCCAAAUACCUUUAAAUUAGUAUGUGACUUAGAAAUAUGCUUGGAAUAUUUAAAUUUGAAUGUACCAUAAUAUUACUUUUAAGAAAGAAGAUAUUGAAAAUUUUGGAAACAAAUUGACUCCAUAGCAACCAUUUGGCCAGAGCUGAUCACAUAUAUAGUUAUAAUAGACCCACUGUGUUAUAAGAUUAUCAGUUAUUUUUCUGUUGUAUGAUUUUUAUUAUGAAAAUAAACCAAUUUAGUUUGACCAUUUUUUAGUUUUCUGCAAACACACAAAAUGAAACAAUAAAAGUAAACAAAAGAUGGCAUAUACACAUAGAAAUUCUUUGUAGUGAGUGUAUGU